rnacentral:lncRNA from 1 species
GCAAUAAAUGUAUGAAGAAUGACCUAAUAAAAUUAUAUAGUCAGCAGCCUUUUGCCACCAAAAAUCUUAAUUUACAUAAACAUGUUUUUGUGAAUGCUUUGAUAGCUAUUAUCAGCUUACCACCAAAUAUAAACCUUCCUAUACACAAACUAAUGACAACGUUACACUUCACAAAAGAAAGAACAUCAAGACCAGUUAACUGUUAUCCGCCCAUAAUAACUUGUCAUAUCAGCCACAGUCAUCUCAAAAGGCUCUGAGAAAUAAAGCACAAAUAGAUGCUAAACUCUAAAACUCUCCCCUUCAAAAUCUAAGACAAAAUGGUGAAAGUGAGCACACUGUGCCUCAAGUAAACAGCUCUUUCCAAUCAGCUUGUCUUAAAAAAUGAGUAAUCAGCACAACCAGAUUAAGAAACAGACUCAUGAAGAAUGUAUUUACUUGGGGAGGAAUGAUAGCAGGUGGCGGCUGUCCAUAAAAUAUUUGUUGCCCUAGACCAGGACCGCCAGGGGGGUACAUUGGCAUUCUAGGAGCAACAGAGGGUCCCAUUGCAAUUGGACGCAAUUGAGAAAAUUGAGCCUGCAUGAAUGCAAGGAAAGUUACCCACGUUCAUCAAAAUAACGAUACAAAAGCAAAAGUAUCAAAAUUUCAAAACUGGAGAGAGAGAGAGAGAUCAGGUGCGUUCUUCACAUUACAAAGAUUCCAUGGAAUAUAAUUCUCAUUCAAUAAAAAAGUGUACUCAUACUCUUAUUCUAAAUUAUCACUAACUGUCAUGAGGUUUUAGACUACAAAGUCAAAAUAAGAGAUAGCAUCCAAAAUAUACCUGCAACCUUGCUCUUCUCUCUUCCUUUCUCUGUGCAAGAGCAACAUAAAGUGGUUUGCUAACAAUCAUCUUCCCAUUCAUUUCGGAAAGCUGUGGCAGUACAGAGUAACAUUGCACCUUGAAGCUCAAAUGGAGGAAUAUAACACACUGAAAUAUCACAAAAACAAAACCACAAACUUACAGCUCUUGAUGCUUCUUCAGGAAUUGAGAAUGCAACAAACCCAGAUCCUCUGCUGAUUCCAUUGGGAUCUCGCAUAACCUGGCAGAUAUAAGUAGAACACAAAAACUUAAUUAUUGUGACACAACAAUUGAAUAGAGAGAUGCUAUUCAAACAGACACAGGCACCAGAGACCUUGCAUGAAGUUAUAACACCAAAGGGGGAGAACAAUUCCCUAAGCUUAUCAUCAUUAAUGCUGUCAUCUAAAUUCUUUAUAUAGAGGUUCAACCCUUGUGAUUUGUCAGCAGCCUCCUUAAUACUCUGCUCGAAUCGUUGUUUUAAUUCUUGUUCUCUCUCAGAUUUCUUUUGGGCUUUCCCAACAAACCAUUCUUUGUUAUCAAAUUUAUAUCCAUUAACAGCUUCAACAGAUUUUGCAGCAUCUUCAGGGUUCUCAAAGUUCACGAAUCCAAAACACUUUGACUUUCCAUCUUCAUCCCUCAUUACCACAACACUAGUUAUUGUCCCAUAAUCACCAAAUACUUUCUUUAGGUCUUCAUCAGUGGUUGAUUCUGAGAGAUUCUUCACAAAAACAUUAGUAAAUUUUGUCUUGUCUACAGCCAUUUCUCUUUCUUGUUUCCGAAGGAAAGGUCCAACAUAUACUUGCUUAUCAUUCAGCAGCAUCCCGUUGAGUUUCUCAAUAGCUUUUUGAGCAGCUUCAUCAGUAUCAUAUUGCACAAACCCAUAGCCCUUUGACUGACCAGAAACAUCGGUUGCCACCUUGCAAGAGAGAAUGUUUCCAAAUACAGAAAAUGUGUCGUGCAAAGCCUUAUGGUCAAUCGCUUUGUCCAAAUUCUGUCAAGAGAGAGAAAAUAAUCAUUUGAAAAGAACUAAAAAAAAUUCAAUUGGGAGCAAAGAUGUUACCAACCACUGGACCAUAGGGUACAACGCCCAAGCCCCCCCCCCCUCCUUUCAAAAAAAAAAAAAAGAAAAAGAGAAGGAAAGGAAAAAAACUGAAGCAGAGAACCAUAUACCUUAAUAAAUAUAUUUCCAGAACCACUUUUACGUAUGCUGGGAUCUCGAUGAGAAUACAUAACUCUAAUGGGCUUCCCAUUGAGAGGAGUAAAAUUUAGAAUCUCUAGAGCCCGUGCAGCUGUGUUGGAGACAAAGAAAUAUGGUUAGCAACAGCACUGGGGAAUAAGACCCAAACACAAGCAGACAGGAUGGAAUGAAACAAGAAGACCAACUAAUAUACAGUAGUAAAAAAAAAGUUUACUGUUGCAAAUAGAACUUCAAAAAGACUAGCCAUGCCUGGAUGAACUGCUGAAUAAUGCUUCAGAGAUGCUCAAUAAUAAGACCAGUAAUUCCUUAGAAAUGAUAAAGAUGAACUACUAUAUAUCACAAGAAUUCAAAUAAACAAAAGCAUGGUCCUUUCCUAUUAGAAGGACUUGAAAUACGAAACCAAAGGAUGUGCAUCUCAAAUAAAAAUCAAAGAUUACGAUAACACUAAUCAAUAGAGUCCUCAACAUAAACCAGACACAUACAGUAAUGAUAAUCUCAUAACUCACCCAAAUCAGCGAUAUUUACUUGAGAGCCCAGGAAUAGAUGACUUUUUCAAUAAAAUAACACCCGAAGUCCACAUAACUAUGACAGUAGCCAUUAGGUCACCAAAGCAGCCAAGGAAUUGAAUGGAAAUAUGAAGGCAGCAUUAAUUGAAGGAUAAGGAGUAUGAACUAACCAUCUUGCGGAUUGCCAUAAUUGACAUAACCAUAUCCAAGUGACCGUCGAGUCGUCAAAUCCCGGCAAACCCUGACCGAAACCACCUGUCCAACCUGGUUGAACAGAUCGUAAAGCUGCGAAUCAGUGACGUGCAAAUCCAAGUCACCUACAUAAAGCGACGUCGGCACGAACUGAGGAUUCGCACCGCCAGCAGCAGCUGUAGUAGUAGCAUUCACAUUCAUCACCGACUGCGGCACCUGAACCUGAGCCAUCUCAACUCGAAAACCGUAGCUAAAUGGAGGACAAAAAUUUUAGGAUUUUUUUUUGGAAAUUUUUCAAUUUUUUUUGUGAUUUUUUUCUCGCUUCCCUCUCCUCUUGUUAUUCGAGAAACAAACCCUAGACAGUAGCACCAAAAAUUAUGACAGUCUAAAUUUGGAAAAUGUUCCCGAAAUUUUCGUUUUUUUUUUCUUGCCUUCAAUAUAUUAAAAGAAAAUCCAACAAAAAGAUACUUUUAAACUCAAAGAUUUUCUUUUUCCUUUUUUUUAGCCUUUUACACUAAAAAGAGAGAGGAGAGGGAAGGAUGAAAAUAGAGAAGGAUAAGUCGGAGAUCCGACGGAGGGUAUGGGAGUAUCGCCGCCGACAGCGACGGCGACGGCGCUGUGGGAUGAGAGAGGAGGGGUGGGGGAGCAAAGAGCAAGUGCACUGGGCAAGGGCAGAAGCGGCGGUUUUUUUAUAUCUGGCGGGCUCAAUAGCGGUGCGCGCGGUUACCCUAGGGGGUGGGCAAGCUUGUGCACAAAAUCUGCGCCGUUGGAUUAGGAGAGGGGUACACUGGCGGUUGGUAGAUACGGGAGGAGGAUUGUAUAUUUGUGCCAUUCUCAAAGGGUUGGGAUCGAUGUGGGGGGGGAAAAAAGGGUAUCUCUAACUACAUAAAGCGCCGAAGGGUUGGCAACAGUGAUUUCCACUGGUUAUUUUGUAAUUUGAGCAUUGAUUCUGUCCUCAUUUGUCUUUGUAGGUGUGAUGGAACUCAUUGUGGGGUCAUCUUUGUUUCAUGCUUGUCGGCCACAGGUUCUAAAUUUUGGUCGCCUUAUUCCAAUUUUACCCUUUUACACUGGUUUCGUUGUUGUUUCUCUACAGAUUUUGGCCUUUUUCGUCUUUUUAUUGUAAAUAAUAUUUUUAGUGGUUGGCCCGUUGCCUGCUGCAUAUGUCUGCCCAGAUUUAUUGGACCUCUCACGGUUUUUGCGAAAUCUUUUCUGGUCUGCCGCCUUAUGUUGGUCCACUGUGUUUGGGUUUCGGACAUAAGAAAAAUACCACUAUAUCCAUCCAUAUAUAGCAAAAAAAUAUAUAUAUAUAUGAUACGUAAACAAAAUCAGCAACCUUGGCUGCCAAAUUACUCUUCACAGGUUAAAUAGUACCAGCAACAAACAAUUAAAAAUUUUAUACAAUUUACACAUUACUAAUCAAUACUAAAUAUUACAAAAAUCAACACAACCUAGAAUAAUACACCUCAAACUAUACCAUCAUACACACUAAGAAAUCCUUCAAUUAAUCCACUCUCACAACUUUCACUAGCAUAAAAUUAAUUAGAACCAAUAAUCAAAUCACAAUUAGACAAAACAUAAAUAUACUGUAAACAAUAAAAUACCAAAAAAAUAAAAAAGUGCAAAACAAUUACUUACUUUACCAAUAGAAAAACAUAUCAAAACCAUAAUCAUUCAAAAUAAUACAAAAUAUGACAAAUCCAUACUACAUUGCAAAACUUAUAUUACAAAUCUUUACACAUGUUCCAAUAUAAAAUACAUGUACAUAUAAUUAAUAAACAAAUGGAAGAUAUUGCCUAUAACAUACCAGCUCUUUAUGGGUUUUUUGCAUUACAUGAACAAAAUAUUAGUUAUUUAUGGGCAUUUUACUUUGAAUUAUUUAAUUUGUGUAAAAUACAUAAAUGUUUGUAGCUAAAACUGGAAAAGUGUUACACUAAUAUUUUUAUGAAAGGGAAACUCAUAGGUUUUGUAUUUAACAUAAAUUAAAUAUGUGAAAGUAAAAAAAGAAAUUGCCCAAAGCAUACCGGCUCUUUACUGGUUUUCUCUAUUACAUGAACAAAGUACUAGCUAUUUAUGAACAUUUUACUUUGAAUCAUUUAAUUUAUGUUAAAAACGUAAAUGUUUGUAAGUAAAAUUCAAAAAAUGUUACACUAAUAUACUCAAUUAUUAAAUUAAAGCUUUUGCGUUUUAAGAUCGAUAAUAUUUGUUAACUACUCAAUUAUUAAAUUAAAGCUUUUGCGUUUUAAGAUUGAGUAGUUACUUCGAUAAUAUUUGUUAACUGCUCAAUUAUUAAAUUACAGCUAAUUAAAGCUUUUGCGUUUAAGAUUGAUAAUAUUUGUAUAUGCAUGUUCGGCAAAAUAUAUAUAUGGACACAAAUUCUGUGUGUAUCUAAUAUUAUUAAUUUAAAGCUUUUGUGUUUUAAUAUUAACUACUCAAUUAUUAAUUUAAAGCUUGCCGUCAAGCUCCAGUUACAAGUUAAUUGUCUCCUUUUGCUGUUGUGCUCAUAUUCUAUUUUCUCAUCUUAUUCCAAUAUGUGCAUAUCUAAUAAAUAUAAAUCAAUUGUCCCGCUUUGUAUUAGGUUCCAUUAAUACGAUCAAUUAUUUUUAAAAAUAUCGGAUAAUUUUCCUCUAUUUCAAAAAUGUUACUUCGAUAAUAUUUGUUAACUACUCAAUUAUUAAAUUAAAGCUUUUGCGUUUUAAGAUUGAAUAGCAUAACAUAAAUGUGUUUAGGACAAAGUGAUAAUUAGUUGUGUGCCUUUUUAUAUAUGUGCAUGUUCGGCAAAAUAUAUAUCUGAACAAAAAUAUUGAUUUUCUGAAAAAAAAAAUAUUUCGAGACAAAUUUUUUGUGUAUCUAAUAUUAUUAAUUUAAAGCUUUUGCGUUUUAAGAUAUUUUUAGCAAAAUAUAUAGCAAUUCUUCUACAAUGCCACCGCAUGCUAUCAAAAUUUACGUGGUUGUUCCCUGGUGAUUAAAGGUUACGUGGCGCAAAAUUUAUCUUACGUGGUUACAUAUUAGAAGUUACACCUGUAGUUACAGUUCAUGUCAUGUACUUACAGAUAGAGAUAUGCUUGUUUCGUUCGGUUCUUUCACAGAUUACAUACUGUCAUAGUGGACUUGCAAUCAUUAGUCAGAUUUAAUGCAUGCAUGUGUUUCCUUCUGCCAAACCUCAAACUCUUUGUAUAGUUGAAGACUAUAUGCGUUCUAUCUAUAUUAACCUUUUCACCGUCAGUUUCUUUGGUUUGGUUUUCUUUAUCUACGGACUACCAACUAUUAUAAUGCUUUAGAGAUGUUUCUCUUUUCUCUUGCGCCUUCCUGUUAGCUCUUUAUUUUCUAUUGGCUUUUCCUGAUCCCUGUUUCAAAUUCUCAGCUUCGCACCGGCCUGUUAUCAAAUUCUCAGCUUCGCGCCGGCUUCAGUCAGGUAUGUCCUUGUUUUUCUUUACUGCAUUUCUUGGUUGUCCUUUUCCUCGUUUACUCUUAAUCAAUCUACAGUUACUUAUUUUCUUUCCUUGUGAUUGAAGUUAUGUUUCUAUCAUUUUCUCCUCCCUAUUAAUUACCUAAGAAUAUCUGUUUUGUUCCCAUGAUUUUUGCCAAAAAACUGACUACUUCGCACAGAAUCAUUUUUCUUUGUUGCAGCUUUUUAGUCUGCAUUAACUCUGAAUUUACUUACCUUAGGUGACUCCAUAAACUAUUAGCAAAUUUAAAAAAUCUCCUUACUUUUUCCAUUUUGGUGUAUUUUGCUUAUUCUACAAUCACUACUAUACUAUUCAACAAAACAAUAACCCUCUAUUUAUAAUUUCUUCUACUUUAUUUUACAUUCUUCAUCACUCAAUAACACCAUAAUAUGGGCACCCCGCGGACAGCCGCGGGGUCGAAUGCCUAGUAAAUUAAUAAAUCAUGAGACUUCCUAGUUAUUAUCAUAUAAAAUAAUUACUCUUUUUAUAUGAUUUUGAAGGUAAAGUAGAAGAUCAGAAGAUUGCAUCUGAAUUUUAACUGGAAAGGAGCAAAAUUGUUCGUUGGUUGUAUGUAAAACAAUCCCUAUGAACUCUGCAAAAUAACAAUUGGGAUUGGGCAUAAAUCAGAAAAAAAUCACACAAGCUUUCUUUUGUUUUUUGGGUUCUAUCAAAUUUAGGAGGAAUGGAGGGAUGCCCUUCAUUCCGUACGAGAAAUUUAUAUCAAUCUAAAAUAAGUACUAAACAUGUUUUAGUUGAUUCGGAAUCAAUAUAAAAAUCAUUUUAUGUGAAUAUAUAAGAACCCCACUUACUAAUUUAUGUAUUAAAUGAAGUUCACUUAACAUGUCAAAUGAAAUAAAAUGAUACUUUCGUAUAUUCACGCGAAACCUUUCAUUGGUUCGGAAAAAAAAAAAAAAAAAACUAGUAAGCGUAUUUAGCAGCUGCUUUGAUGGACAUAAAAUUUUCCUCCCAAUACCAUAACCAAAUUAAACCAUUGAGUAUAAAUAUAUUAUUGGUUUGUUUGCAAGAUUCCAUAGCUGAGUUUUAUUUCACUAUAGUCCCUUCGGAGAAAUCCAUAUAAUUUUUGCAAAUGUCUAGGCCCUUCAAUUCCACUGUAGUCUAAAAUUGGAACGAUAUAUACUAGCAUGGCCUGGGCAAGAAGGAUGGUAUGCAUAGAUAGUGAGAGUUUUUUUAUUUAAAUGGACCUAUCUUCUACGUCUGUUUGGGGCACAAGCGCAUGGUCAUAAUGACGCUGGAUUUAUUCCAAAUUGAAUGGAACACAACGGUACGUGAUUAUUUUCGUUAAGAUGGCAUUGUCCUGGCUUAUGCGCUUCCUCCGCCUAAAUAGAGACCUCACAUUAGCAGCUGGCCCUUGCCUUAUUUUUCCUAACGCUCUGGAUGUUAAUUGACAUGCGUUCUUCGAGCAAAACGGGUUCAGAAACAUUUACAAAGUACUGUAAUAAUUAUUAUGUCUCUGUACGGGCACAUUAAAAAAAAUAAAAACAUGCGAGUAUGCUUUUGAGACCUAUAACAUCCAACUAGAACUUAAUUAUACGCCACCACGACAAAUAACUACUACCACUCUAUCACUCACAUCACAACUAUUCACCUUUAUUCCGCUCUUUUGUCAGUUUGGAUGGAUCAUUUUUUGAAAAAAAAAGUUUUUUAUGUACAAUAUUAUAAUAAUACACACAAAAAAAAAUAAUCUCAAAAAUAAUAAUUUAAAAAAUAUCAAAAACAGCCUCAAAAAACAACCUCAUAUACAUUAAAAGUUUCUCACCUACACCGUUACAGUAAAAUAUUUCAAAAAUUUUCCAAAAGACAGUUAAUCUAAACAAAGCCUAUGUGAAUUUUAUUGGAUAUAUCCGUACGUGAGAGGAAAUAUGUAACACUUACUCUGUAAUCGCAUCAAGUUUCAAAAAGUUAUGUACAGAAUACCUCCAUCCUUGAGUUGUAGGUGUUUAGGUGGGGGUUCAAAUCCUAUCUACAGCGAAAAAAAAUUUAAAAGUGAUGUCAAAACAUUCUUAUGAUUUAGUAAGGUCUAUGUACCUACUAGCCUCGGAUACGAGUCUCUUUAGACUUCCUCUCGCCUCUAAUUUAAAAUAAAAUAAAUUAUACAAUAGUUAUCGUUUAAAAAAAAAAAAAAAAGGAAUACAGCCAUCAUAUAUUGACAUCAAGUAUGAACUAGUCCGCAUCCAUCGUGCCUUGAACUCUGGCUCUCACCAAGUUUUGUGUCUCGUCACUGCACCGGUUGCCCAACUCGAGCCUUACCACAAAAUGACACCAAAUGCUAAAAUCGUCCACAGAAAAGCUAUAUAAUAAGCAAGCGUCGAUUGGUUGGUUGUUUUGACAUCGUUAGGGGCCUGUCUGACGACAAAUGUUUAAUUGGCACUCAUUGAAAUAUAUUUGAAGUGGCAUAUAUAUUUUUUUAUAUGUGAUUUAAAAUAAUUAGGCAAGGCAAAUAAAUAGGUAAAAUUAAAUAAAAUGUAUAUAAAUGUAAGAAAUAAUAAUAAUUGUUAGUAUGCAUAUAUAUACACGUGAUAAGGUAAGUGAAUUAUAGAUAUACUAAUGAAUGUGCAACGAGCGCGUGUUAAAACACUCGUAAAACAACUAUGCAACGUGUCUUUCUGUUUUCAAAAUCCAAAACUAAAUAUUGUGAAGCUUGGCGUGUAAUAGUGUGAUAGAGUGGUUUGGUUGAUUCGUGAGCAAGUCGAAGAGAUAGAAAUACAUAUCAUGAGAAAGGAGAAACUUCUAUUUUUUUUUUUUUUAUCAAUACAAGAGUGUCCGGGUCAAGACCCGAAGGCGGCCCGACUAAUCCCCUGCGCCUGGAGUACAGCGCCACCCCAACCGCACCCAAGCGUUAAGUGAGGUUCGACCCCACGACCUGCGAGUGCCGGAAGCAGCCACAGACCGCGUGAUCUAGCCCCGGGGACAGAAACUUCUAUUUAAAGAAGAAGAAAAAAACACACACACACACACUCGGAGUGAGAGAGAGAGACAAGGGUACAAAAGAACAAAAACUAGGCCUUAUUGAUCCUAUCUUUCAAUUGUCAGUUAACGGAAGUUAUUUUAUGCAAACGGGGUCAAGAGAGUGGAACAGAUAUAGAGAUAUGGAAGGGAAACAGAACAACAACAUUAAUUUGAACUUGGACAAUGGGCUAUUAGUGGCAAUUAAUCCAAAUUUAGAGGGGCUAUCCAUGUCCAAUUAAAACUUGGACGGGAUGGACUCAAAGGAACUUGGGUUUUAAAUUGGGUCAAUGUCCCAAAAAAAAAAAUAUGGAAAGAUGGAAUGCUAGGGUAAUGCCAUUAUUGUUGCUUUUUCCUUCUUUCUAUUUCUUUUAAAAAACAAAACUUCUUUUUCUUCAUACUUGAUUUGUUUAUAUUUGAUUCUUUUUUUAAAAAAAAAUUUGUUUAUAUUCUUGCUAGUCUAUUCUCUUACAAUUGCUCAGAUUUUGGAUAUCACUUGAUUGUUAACUAUAAAAAUUCAUGCAUUUUUUUUUUUUGUGAAUUUGGAUCUAUAGCUUGGUUUCGUCGUAAAUAAUUUAAUUUAUCAUAAUAUAAUAUGAUAUUUAGACAAUUUUACUUGCAACACUUAUGAUGUUCCAUGAAUUUAUUGGACAAUGUCACCUCUUUAAUUUUUUUUUCCUUUUGUUCGUCAGCCCAUGUAUUGAUCUGCAUGAUUAAUUUGUUUUGAUAUGAUUUUCUUUUAAAAAAAAAAAAGAAGUGUAUGCCAUAAAUCUACAUUGCAUACUAACUAAUGAUGUACCUAGAAAAUCUAUAUUGUAGAUCCAAAAAAGGAAAAAUAAAAAGAAUUUUGGUUGUAAAUUGGAGCAAUUUACAAUAUAGGUGAACGCGAAAAGAAGUUUGUUUUGUACUAGAAAACACUAAAAUAGAAUUUAUUGAAAUUUGGAUGGUAUCAAAAUAGACUUGACCCAUUUUGGUCCUAUCCAUAUUUGUCUCAUGACUAUAUGAAACUGUUUGGGUAUAGAACUAUAGACUUUACCAAGCUGAUAAUUAUAUGUUCUUUGAGCUUCAAGUUCCCUUUUUAGGUCGCGGACCCUUGGACUAUUUUUUCUUUUAUUUCGGAGUCCAAUGACAAUUUUAUUCGCCAUGGACACUUCGAUUUUAAAUGACUUCAGCAUUCCAUCAUACUCCGAGGGCGCGAAGCUGAGGUUUUCAUGCUAAUAGAAACCUUUUAGCAUGCGAGGUGGCAUACUACGAGCGAGGGCAUUUGGAAUUCCAAUCGUUGCGUAGUCCUUAAUACUACUGUCUAGUUGUCGCAAUUUCAUUUGGUCACCAAUUUCUAAAUAAGCUUGUCAAAUAAUUGGCCCAAUCCAUAAUAAUUAAAAUUUUGCGGUCCCAUCUUCCCUGGACAUAGAUUUAACCACAUUGAUAGCUUCCUUCCUAUAACAAAGAAACAAUGCUCGUAAUUAGAAUCUCAAGCUUAGCCCUACAAACAACACAGAAGGUCUAAAAACAAAUACAAAAAGGUAAAAAUGGAAUAAGGAAUUUUAAGUUUAAUAUCCAGCUCCGGUGUAGAGAGCAUUUUGACCACUCAUUAUUAAGUUUCCACCGUGCAUUUAAGCACAUGCUCCCUUAUCAGCGUGAAUCAGAAAAAGCUUGAACCUGACUGACGAUGUCAACCACUGGUAUUUAUUUGCUUUGAUUUGAAGAAUGACCAACUUAAAAUGAAAAUGGAUGCUGACAACGCAGCCGACAUCUAACUUGUUAAAAGAUUAAUACCACACUAGCACAUUAGCUUCAGCUUUGGUUACUUCAUGGUACCUGAGAUAGCUAAGAUCUGUGGUAAAGUCCAGUUCCCAGUAACCUAAAACAAUGCAGCUCUCUCAUCUACUGAUGUAAACGCGCGGUAAGAAAACAAUCUCGAAAACCAAUAGGGUUUAGGUCAACAUAACAGAGUGGUAGAUUCCAAACUAAAAAGAAAUGACUCAAGCUCCAAAUUUCAUGUUUCAAAAACCAAAGCACAACAGGUUUUAACUACCCAAUCAGUUCACUCAGGAAACAAGACCGUCAUUCAAGGACAAUGAUGCCAAUUGAUCAGCCGGAUUGGCUGCCUGCUGCUGCUGAGAAACAUUCCUCAAGACUUCCAUGGCCUCCGCAACCUUGGACUUCAGAGCUUCUGGUGACUCAAGCAGGUGUAGAACCUCCGUCUGGUCCAUCUCCAAAAGCAUACCAGUAACCUUAGCUGCUGUUUCAGGCUCCAACUGUUCGACAAGUGGGUAUAGAUUCUCGCCCAACAUCUGCAGUUAAAAUCAUACUAAGUGAUGACAAAUUAACAAUUCCGAUAAUAAUAGAACUCUCAAACUAAGCAUCAUAACUCACCCCACAUUAUGCUCGGGAUGGGAUAAAGGGAAGCAAAGAAAUUGUCAAAGUAAGGAGAUUGUCCAGUAAGAACAUGCUCCAACAAACUUAUGACCCAAGAGAAGCACACAUUCAAGCAUGAACAUCACUAGUCAAAUGUCCUCCUCAAUUAUGUCAGAAAUAUGUGCUUUAAGAAUUAUUUACAAAGUUGCCACACAGUGAAAACCAUUAUGCCCAAGACAUCCCACAAGUACUAAAACCCAAAAACAGCACAACUCCUUGAAACAAACCCUUCACUUUUUCCAGUCGAAGUGUUUAAACAAACAUAUUAUAAAAACAAUAAGAACAGAAAGAUGCUCUUGACAGUUUCCACAAUUUCAAAGUAUCUAGCUCAACAUGAGAUACAGAAAAACUGAUGGACCAAAUUACUAAGUACUGCUCUUCAAAGACUAGAAGCUGCCAAGCAUAAAAAGCACAAUUCAAACACAACAGGCAUCAGUUGAGAACUCCAAAAUCACCAUUAUUAGAACACAGCAAUUAUGGAUAAAUACACACAUGUACAGCAUCCUAAAUUAAGAAUAUAAAGGCACAUGCAUACUAUACUUUUCUAUUUUCUUGAAUGGACUAAGCUAAACAGACAAAAAUGUCGAAUAUUAGCCUACCGUCCUCUGAUCAGCAGGAGAAGCAUUUGCAAGGGCAGAUGCCAAAGCCCCAAUUGGAACUGGCUGAGAUACAACAUCACGCAAUGGCAUGCCACCCAUAUCAUAUGGGACAGAAAGCAUGCCUCCACCAACACCUGGCAUGGAGACAUCAGGCAGGGCACGGCCUGGAGGGUAACGAUAUGCACGCCCCCUUGGAACCAUCUGUCACAAAAUGAAAAUUGAGAAGAUCAUAAAAGAAAUAAAAAAGGAUUCUAGUGCCACAAGCAAGGAUAGGCACGGAAUUCAUCUGCAAACCUGCUGUUGCAUCAGUGGAACUGGUUGUUGACCCUGCUGGACUGGAACAGCUGCACCCCGCCUGCCACCAGGACGCUGUCCUUGCUGCCCUUGCUGAACUAAUGGCACAAAAAAGUUUGGCAUCGGACCCGCACCAGGCCUCAUUCCAGGAACAAGCUGCUGUUGAUAACCAAAACCAGGCUGACAAGUAAAACAAAAAACCACCCUCAGCUUUCCAACAAUUGUGCAAAUCCAUUACAUAUGCAUAAACACGAUGAAACAAAAAUAUCCCAAUGUCCCUACACCAACUAAUAAAUCUAACCAUCCCAGUAAUCUAACCUCCCCCCCCCCCAAAAAAAACCAAAAAAAAAGGCACUGUACUCAAAUUAGAACAGAGAGAAACAGGUUGUUUGUGUAACAUAAGUAUGGCAAAUCAACAAGAAUAAUCUCCCCAUAAAGCAGAACAGACCUAACAAUCAGGGACAACGUAUUUGUCUGAAACUUUAGCAAGCACAUCAUAUCAAUAGAUGCACUUAGGUACAUGGAGGGAACCCGCUGUUAUAAAUUAAGCAGCUGAUGUAAGGAGUGAAGGACUUGAUUGAAUCAUAAAUCACUAGCCUUUGGCCAUAAGCAUCUUUGAUUUACAUUGAGAACAUGUUUUGUGAAUGCUUUGAAGCCGCUGUUAUAAAUUAAGCAACGAUGUAAGGAGCAAGGACUUUAAUCAAACAUAAAAUCACCAGCCUUUGCCCAUCAGCAUCUUUAAUUUACAUCGAGAGCAUGUUUUUGUGAAUGCUUGGAUAACUAUCAUCAGCCUACCACCGUAGUAUAUAUAAACCCACCUAUUUACAUAUUAAUGGCAACGGUACACUUCACAAAAGAAAGAACAUCUGACCCAAUGAAAUGUUAUCAGCCCAUAAUAUCUUGUUAAGGAUGCAGUGAUCUCCUUGCUCAAAUUAAAAUCAGCCACGGUCAUCUCAAAAGGCUCAGACAAAUGAUUCAAAACUUACAACUCUCCCCUUAAGAUCUAAAAGGAAAAGAAAAGUAAAAGCAAGCAUACUGUGCUUCAACCAAACAGCUCGUCCAAAUCAGCUCGUGUUAGAAAAUGAGUAAUCAGCACAACCAGAAUAAGAAACAGAUUCAUAUGAAGAAUGAAUUUACUUGGGGAGGCAUGAUAGCAGGCGGUGGCUGUCCAUAAAAUAUUUGUUGCCCCAGACCAGGACCGCCAGGGGAGUACAUUGGCAUUCUAGGAGCAACAGAAGGUCCCAUCGCAAUCGGACGCAACUGAGAAAAUUGAGCCUGUA